rnacentral:rRNA from 1 species
GUACACGCUGUGACUAGCAUAUCAAUAAGCGGAGGAAAAGAAACUAACAAGGAUUCCCCUAGUAACGGCGAGUGAAGCGGGAAGAGCUCAAAUUUGAAAUCUUAAAGGGUUUCCCUUUACGAAUUGUAGUUUAAAGAAGUGUUUUCUGUUGAGGUUUUGGUAAAAGUUCUUUGGAAUAGGACAUCAUAGAGGGUGAGAAUCCCGUAUUUGACCUUUACUUUCAACUUUGUGAUACACUUUCAAAGAGUCGGAUUGUUUGGGAAUGCAGUCCAAAAUGGGUGGUAAACUUCAUCUAAAGCUAAAUAUUGGCGAGAGACCGAUAGCGAACAAGUACCGUGAGGGAAAGAUGAAAAGAACUUUGAAAAGAGAGUUAAACAGUACGUGAAAUUGUCAAAAGGGAAGCGUUUGACACCAGUGUUGUUUUUCUGAAAAUCAAUUAAAGAACUGUUUAUGCUAAGUUGUUUAGACUUUAUCAGCUAACUGUUUAGUUUUGAGCUUUUCUUUAAUGCACUUUUCAGUUAACAAGUCGACAUCAAUUUCUUUUGCUGUAAAAAAGCUUGAGGAAGGUGGCUUGAGAUUCGUCUUAAGUGUUUAUAGCCUCUUGUCUAUGCAGUCGGAGAGAUUGAGGUCUGCAGCGUAGAUCCUUCGGGGCUAAAUGCAUUUGUGCUAAGUUAUAGCAUUUUAUAGACAACUUGUUGACUAUGAUUUGUCUUGUAGCUUACUCGCUUAUGUUAUUUUACCUACGCUUAGGAUGUUGAGUCGUAGAGCACGCAG